ACUAGACACAGCCCAAACCAUCCCACAUUAUAUUAUCCAAAUGCAAUAAAACAAAACAUUUACAACAAUAAAAGUAUAGGAGAUAGAAAUUACAAAAUAGGCGCUGUAGAGGCAGUACCGUAAGGGAAAUAUGAAAGAAAACUAUAAGUAAAAAACAGCAAAGAUUAGCCCUUGUACCUUUUGCAUAAUGACUCAACUAGAAAAAAUUUAGCAAAAAGAAUUUAAGUUAAAUAACCCGAAACCAGACGAGCUACUUAUUAACAGUCUAACAGAACAAACUCAUCUAUGUGGCAAAAUAGUGAGAAGAUUAGUAAGUAGUGGUGAUAAGCCUACCGAGCCUGGAGAUAGCUGGUUGUCCAGGACAGAAUUUUAGUUCUAAUUUAAAUUUACCAUAAAACCAACAAAUUCAAAUGUAAAUUUAAAUGAUAAUCUAAAAGGGUACAGCUUUUUAGAUUCAGGAUACAACCUUUAUUAGAGAGAAAACAAAACAACAUAACUUCAGUUGGCCUAAGAGCAGCCACCAAAAGAGACAGCGUUCAAGCUCGACAACUAACACCAAUAAUAAUCCCUACUAUAGCAAUGUUACUCCUAAUACAGAACUGGACCACUCUAUUCCUAAAUAGAGGCAAUAAUGUUGAUAUGAGUAACAAGAAACACUUCUCCCUGCAUACGUGUAUAUCAGAACGAACCCUCUCACUGAUAAUUAACAAAAUAAGUACAAUCAACUAAUAGAACUUCACCACCAAAUGUUAGCCCAACACAGGAAUGCAGCCUAAGGAAAGAUUAAAAGAAGUAAAAGGAACUCGGCAAACAUAAAUCCCGCCUGUUUACCAAAAACAUCACCUCUAGCAUAAAAAGUAUUAGAGGCACUGCCUGCCCAGUGACUUUAGUUCAACGGCCGCGGUAUCCUGACCGUGCAAAGGUAGCAUAAUCACUUGUUCUUUAAAUAAGGACUUGUAUGAAUGGCCCCACGAGGAUUUAACUGUCUCUUACUUCCAAUCAGUGAAAUUGAUACUCCCGUGAAGAGGCGGGAAUAAAUAAAUAAGACGAGAAGACCCUAUGGAGCUUUAAUUAAUUAACUCAUCAAUAAUAUUCUACCCUCCACAGAAACAAACAUCCAUUUGAUUGAGUUGACAAUUUAGGUUGGGGUGACCUCGGAAUAAAACUUAACUUCCGAGAAAUUUUAAUCAAGACAAACAAGUCGAAAUUGGCUACACAAAUACACAUUGAUCCGUCACUUAGACGAUCAACGAAACAAGUUACCCUAGGGAUAACAGCGCAAUCCUAUUUAAGAGUCCAUAUCGACAAUUAGGGUUUACGACCUCGAUGUUGGAUCAGGAUAUCCCAAUGGUGCAGCAGCUAUUAAUGGUUCGUUUGUUCAACGAUUAAAAUCCUACGUGAUCUGAGUUCAGACCGGAGUGAUCCAGGUCGGUUUCUAUCUAUUAUCAAGUCCCUCCCAGUACGAAAGGACAAGAGAGACAAGGCCUACUUAAACUUAAGCGCCUUCCCCAAAUAAAUGAACUAAUCUCAAUUUACUAUUUAUAAAUCAACCCAAGAAAAGGGCCCA
rnacentral:rRNA from 1 species